UCAUAGGAUUUAUUCAAAUUCAUGAUGUCGUAAGGGAAAAUAAUGAUAAAACCUUACUAUAAGUGUCGUCCAAAUCUGGUGCCAGAAGACUCGGUAAGACCAGAGACGCAAACGUUAAUCAUCAUAAACAGGCGUAAAGGGUUUGUAGGCAGCUUUAAUAAGAUAGUCAAAAGUCUAAAUUUAAAGCUAGAAUCAAAAAGAGGUUAUAGUGUAUAACGCCUAGAGGAGGGCUGAUAUCCAUAGAUCCUAGGCAGAAUACUCAGGGCGAAGGCCACUCUCCACUAAUGAUUGACGCUGAGAAACGAAGGUUAGGGUAGGAAAUAGGAUUAGAUACCCCGGUACUCCUUUCUGUAAACGAUGAAUGGUAGUCAUUAGUUAAAUAACUAGAGGCGAAGUUAACACGAUAACCAUUCCGCCUUGUGAGUACUACUGCAAAGUAGAAAACAAAAAAAUUAGUCGGUCUCGAAGCAAACGGAGUGAAGCAUGUUAUUUA
rnacentral:rRNA from 1 species